GACGAACGCUGGCGGCGUGCUUAACACAUGCAAGUCGAACGGAAAGGCCCUGCUUUUGUGGGGUGCUCGAGUGGCGAACGGGUGAGUAACACGUGAGUAACCUGCCCUUGACUUUGGGAUAACUUCAGGAAACUGGGGCUAAUACCGGAUAGGAGCUCCUGCUGCAUGGUGGGGGUUGGAAAGUUUCGGCGGUUGGGGAUGGACUCGCGGCUUAUCAGCUUGUUGGUGGGGUAGUGGCUUACCAAGGCUUUGACGGGUAGCCGGCCUGAGAGGGUGACCGGCCACAUUGGGACUGAGAUACGGACCAGACGCCUACGGGAGGCAGCAGUGGGAAGUAUUGCACAAUGGGCGGAAGCCUGAUGCAGCAACGCCGCGUGCGGGAUGACGGCCUUCGGGUUGUAAACCGCUUUCGCCUGUGACGAAGCGUGAGUGACGGUAAUGGGUAAAGAAGCACCGGCUAACUACGUG
rnacentral:rRNA from 1 species